CGUAGGCUAUGCGCGGCUCGGCUCCACACAAAACAGAGCAGUCGCCGACUCCAAUCCUGUGCUGCCGGGAUUCAGCCCCACCGCCGCCGACGUCGCCGGGAAUCUCCUCGCCGCCGCCGCCGCCGCCGCCGGGAAUCGCCUCGCCGCCGCCGGGAUUCGCUUCAGCGCCGCCACCGAGAAUCGCAUCGCCGCCGCCGGGAGUUGCCUCCGCUGGGAGUCGCCCAAACUUGCGUCCGCAAGAGGUAGGAUUAUCUCUUUGCUACAAUCUGAAGAAGUGGAGGGCUAGGAAACCAAAGCUUCUUGACUGUUUACAAGACUAGAGUCAACUGGAUUGCUGCUGGCAGAGUGUUAUAGUAGAACAUUAAAAAGGAAUAAGCUUCUCCCCUCUGCAUGCUUGAAGAGCUUCAGUCAAGAUGGCGCUGCACAGCAUUGGUGCUUCGAACAAGGAUGAUGCCUUGUACAGGUGCAAGAUGCAUAGAAUCCUAACCGUAGUAAAAGGUUGUGGUAGGCAUCCACAUGAGGGAGCGAAGAGGCCACCUACUCGCACAAUAGCUACACUCCGCCGUCAUUCUUAUAUCCAAAGGCUCUCCCUGAAGACGCAAUGGUUGUUGAUGGAGCAGACUUAGACUAGGAAUGUCAAAUCUUGCAAAUGUGAUGUUGAAUUCAUGACAACUUUGUACCGGCCUAUAGCUGAUUGUUCUCCCUGACAAUACAUAUGGAUAAUAUAAAAUCUUCAUUUUGA